rnacentral:rRNA from 1 species
UACCAGCCCCCCGAGUGGUCGGGACGUUUAUUGGGCCUAAAGCAUCCGUAGCCGGUUCUACAAGUCUUCCGUUAAAUCCACCUGCUUAACAGAUGGGCUGCGGAAGAUACUAUGGAGCUAGGAGGCGGGAGAGGCAAGCGGUACUCGAUGGGUAGGGGUAAAAUCCGUUGAUCCAUUGAAGACCACCAGUGGCGAAGGCGGCUUGCCAGAACGAGCUCGACGGUGAGGGAUGAAAGCUGGGGGAGCAAACCGG